rnacentral:rRNA from 1 species
AUUGAACGCUGGCGGCAUGCUUUACACAUGCAAGUCGAACGGCAGCACGGGUGCUUGCACCUGGUGGCGAGUGGCGGACGGGUGAGUAAUACAUCGGAACGUAUCCUAAAGUGGGGGAUAACGCAUCGAAAGAUGUGCUAAUACCGCAUACACUCUGAGGAGGAAAGUAGGGGAUCGAAAGACCUUAUGCUUUUGGAGCGGCCGAUGUCUGAUUAGCUAGUUGGUAAGGUAAUGGCUUACCAAGGCAACGAUCAGUAGUUGGUCUGAGAGGACGACCAGCCACACUGGGACUGAGACACGGCCCAGACUCCUACGGGAGGCAGCAGUGGGGGAAUUUUUGGACAAUGGGCGCAAGCCCUGAUCCAGCCAUUCCGCGUGCAGGAUGAAGGCCUUCGGUUAGUAACUGUCUUUGUACGGUAACG